rnacentral:lncRNA from 1 species
UCCUCUUAAAUUAAUUAAUACAAAUAUCCCUAAAUUAAUUAAUGCAGUAUGAAUUCGUAAUCUACAAAAUCAUAACACCACCAACUACCACUCCGCCACCGUCGACUCUCCACUCUUCGCUGCCACCGCCCUUCUCUUGCUCCUUCCUAAUCUAAAGCAAAGCAGAAAAAUUAACAGGCUGCCAUCAAAGCAAAGCAGUUGGCAAAAGUAAGUGCAUAAUGUUAAUUGCUUCCUUGGUGUAUCGGUGAAAAGGCUUUUUAGAGAAAGAUCUUCUGAUUUGGGUUUCCAUAUAUCAUCUCACUGCUAUUUAGAAUUUGGUGUGAUUUUUUGUCCAGAAAAUCUCUGUGAGAGAUAAUAUUAGAUACUUAGGUGGGUGGGGUUUUAUCUUUUAUGGUGGAAAUUGAGAGGAGGGUUUAAAAGCGAACUGAACAGGAUAUGGGUUUGAUUUGUAAUGUAGCGGACGGUUAUGGCGUGUUGGUUUCAAUUUCCAUAAACCCCAAAAUCACCAUCGAUCACUCUCCACUCUUCGCGCCCCAAAGCUUCCAUAUCUUCUCGUCGCCGCGGAUUCAAUUGCAGAGCCUCCAUAGAUAGAAAUCUAAGUCAGUCAGAGAGAGAAAGGGACAUACAUACUGUAGUGGCUUUGUGAUAGAUCUGAAACCCUAGAGAGAGAAAGCGAUUAUACAGAGAGUAUGAGUAGCAGCGUUGGGGUACAAUCAAUCCUCCCGCCGGCUUCCAGAAAUAUUUUUUUCAGAGCUUAAAGGAGAUGAGUUUAAUUUUGGUUGAAUUUGGGUUACAGUAAUAUGUUUGGGUAAUGUGAUAUAUGAACGU